GAGUUUGUGGAAUAAUAAACUUGUUUACCUACCUGCCGGGCUGUUUGACGCGACAACCGAAUUGAAAUACCUAGUUUUGCGCAGAAAUGAACUUGUUCACCUACCUGCCGGGCUGUUCAAAGCCACAACCAAAUUAGAAAAACUGUAUUUGCAAUAUAAUAAUCUCCGCUAUCUUCCCGGUGGACUGCCUCAUGACACACCUCACUUAAUUCAUCUAUCUCUUCACAGCGCAGUUUCACUCAACCUUCGCUUGUGUGCUCUCAAGUUCCCGAAGGAUUUUUCACAAGGCACCAUCUUAGGUGGAUAUAAUGUAAAGAAUUAUAUUGCUUCAAAUUUGAAUGAGCCCAUUUGCAGGCAAGACUGUGGCAUCAUUUCCUCACUGGACAAAUGCUCUUCGUGUACCGGUUAUCUGUUCAACUACACUUGCCUAGAGCGAGACGAAUGUCUACAUCAGAUUCAUAAUUGC